rnacentral:snRNA from 1 species
GCAUGCGCCCGCCGCCCGA